rnacentral:rRNA from 1 species
UAGGGAAUCUUCGGCAAUGGACGAAAGUCUGACCGAGCAACGCCGCGUGAGUGAAGAAGGUUUUCGGAUCGUAAAACUCUGUUGUUAGAGAAGAACAAGGGUGAGAGUAACUGUUCACCCCUUGACGGUAUCUAACCAGAAAGCCACGGCUAACUACGUGGCAG